AGUGUACUUUGAGGAUGUUGCUGUGGACUUCACAUGGGAGGAGUGGCAGGACCUUGAUGAUGGUCAGAGGAAUUUGUACUGGAAUGUGAUGCUGGAGACCUACAGCAUCCUGGUGUCAUUGGGGUACUGCAUUACCAAACCUGAAGUGAUCUUCAAGUUGGAGCAAGAAGCAGAACAAUGGACAAUAGACUCCCCAAACCAGAGCCUACAAGGAAAGAAAAUUGGUUUCCUGCUGAACCUGAAAGUACCUGAUCCAAUAAAGUAUUACCAUACUCAAAUCAGAAUAAGAUGGGAAAAAAGCACUAUGUGAUUCCCACUGUUGUUAUAAGAAUAAAAUAGAGAAAUAAAAUAGGUUAAACAAAUGUCAGAUGAUAAGCACUUGGUUGAAAAUUAUGACCAAGCAUAGGUGAAAGUUUUACCGAAUAUUUUCUUAUGAAUGAAAAAUAAAGAAAGAAAACUGUAC